rnacentral:rRNA from 1 species
CCUACGGGAGGCAGCAGUGGGGAAUAUUGCACAAUGGGCGAAAGCCUGAUGCAGCAACGCCGCGUGAAGGAAGACGGCCUUCGGAUUGUAAAACUCUGUUCUUAGUGAAGAAUAAUGAUGGUAGUUAAGGAUCAAGCAUCGACUAUAUACGUGCCAGCAGCCGCGGUAAGACGGAGGUGGCAAGCGUUGUCCGGAUUUACGGGGUUUAAAGGGAGCGCAGGUGGGUAGCGAAGUCAGUUGUGAAAGCUACCGGCUUAACUGGUAGAGUGCAGUUGAACCUGGUCGUUUUGAGUGAAGUAGAGGUGGGCGGAAUUCGAGGUGUAGCGGUGAAAUGCGUAGAUACUAGGAAGAACACCGGUGGCGAAGGCAGCCAACUGGACUGUAACUGACGCUGAGGCUCGAAAGUGUGGGUAGCAAACAGGAUUAGAUACCCCAGUAGUC